rnacentral:tRNA from 1 species
CCGGAAUAGCUCANUUGGUAGAGCAGAGGACUGAAAAUC